rnacentral:rRNA from 1 species
UACGAGGGGGGCGAGCGUUGUUCGGAAUUAUUGGGCGUAAAGGGCGCGUAGGCGGUGCGGUAAGUCACCUGUGAAACCUCUGGGCUUAACUCAGAGCCUGCAGGCGAAACUGCCGUGCUGGAGUGUGGGAGAGGUGCGUGGAAUUCCCGGUGUAGCGGUGAAAUGCGUAGAUAUUCGGAAGAACACCAGUGGCGAAGGCGGCUCACUGGACCGUUGUUGACGCUGAGGUGCGAAAGCGUGGGGAGCAAACAGG